rnacentral:rRNA from 1 species
UGGGGAAUAUUGCGCAAUGGGGGGAACCCUGACGCAGCCAUGCCGCGUGAAUGAAGAAGGCCUUCGGGUUGUAAAGUUCUUUCGGUAAUGAGGAAGGGAUGUUAUUAAAUAGAUAGCAUCAUUGACGUUAAUUACAGGAGAAGCACCGGCUAACUCCGUGCCAGCAGCCGCGGUAAUACGGAGGGUGCGAGCGUUAAUCGGAAUAACUGGGCGUAAAGGGCACGCAGGCGGACUUUUAAGUGAGAUGUGAAAUCCCCGAGCUUAACUUGGGAACUGCAUUUCAGACUGGGAGUCUAGAGUACUUUAGGGAGGGGUAGAAUUCCACGUGUAGCGGUGAAAUGCGUAGAGAUGUGGAGGAAUACCGAAGGCGAAGGCAGCCCCUUGGGAAUGUACUGACGCUCAUGUGCGAAAGCGUGGGGAGCAAACAGGAUUAGAUACCCUGGUAGUCCACGCUGUAAACGCUGUCGAUUUGGGGAUUGGGCUAUAUGCUUGGUGCCCGAAGCUAACGUGAUAAAUCGACCGCCUGGGGAGUACGGCCGCAAGGUUA